UAAUUUAAAGUCUAGCCUGCCCAAUGAUAAUUUUAAUGGCUGCAGUAUUUUGACUGUACAAAGGUAGCAUAAUCAUUAGUUUCUUAAUUAGAAACUGGAAUGAAAGGUUGAACGAAAAAGUAACUGUCUCUUUAUAAUUUUUUUAUAAUUUUAUUUUUAAGUUAAAAAGCUUAAAUAGAUUUGAAAGACGAGAAGACCCUAUAGAGUUUAAUAUUUUAUUUAUAAAAUUUUAAAAUAGAAUUAUUAUUAUUUUAUAAAAAAGAAUAUUUAGUUGGGGUGAUUGAAAAAUUUAGUUAACUUUUUUUUUAUUAAAACAUAUAUAAAUGAUUUAUUGAUCCAUUAUUAAUGAUUAUAAGAUUAAAUUACCUUAGGGAUAACAGCGUAAUUUUUUUUAAGAGUUCUUAUCGAUAAAAAAGUUUGCGACCUCGAUGUUGGAUUAAAAUAAAUUUUUGGUGUAGAAGCUAAAAAAUUAGGUCUGUUCGACCUUUAAAAUUUU
rnacentral:rRNA from 1 species